AAUUAGGAGAGGGUAGGGUUGCCUGCCGAAGAACAGCCUCAGUAUUCUUUGUGCUCGCUCUUUAGAAAUCUCUACUUCUCUGUUCAGAGAAGAGCGCUCCGAACUUGUAAACAGACAGAAAAGGGUAUUGGGUAUUUCACAGAAAUGCUCAUUCAUUGCCUGCUUUGUCAGAAACAGUAUCGCGGAAUCUUCAACACCCACAAAAGAUUUUUCUCUAUCACCACUCUUCUAAACCGUGCCCCUAAAUAUGGCCUUGAGGCCUCUCAAAAUCCACCCCAACAACCCCUUUCAUCAACAUCACUACCGGAUUUGUUCUUGGUGGAGAAAAUUCUAUUGAAUUUAAAGCAAGGUAAUGUAAAUUCUUUGCUCAACUAUCAUUUCCGCUUAAACCCAUUGGUCAUAGUUGAGGUGUUAAAGCGUUGCCGUGAUAAUUUACAACUUGCUCUAAGAUUUAUUGAUCAUGCUGUGUUACGUGGUAAGAAUGUUAAGCACUCAUCCAUGUCAUUGAGUGCAAUGAUUCAUGUUUUGGUACGGAGUAGAAGAUUAUCUGAUGCACAAGCUUUGAUUCUUAGGAUGAUUAGGAGAAGUGGAGCUUCGAGGGUUGGGAUUGUUGAAUCCUUGAUAUCAAUGAGUAGUACUUGUCAAUUAGAUAAUUUCGUGUUUGAUUUGCUAAUUAGGACUUAUGUGCAAGCUAGGAAGUUAAGGGAAGGGACUGAUGCGUUUACAAUUUUGACUAGCAAAGGGUUUUUGGUGUCUAUAAAUGCUUGUAAUAGUCUUCUUGGAGGACUAGUGAAAAUGGGUUGGGUUGAUUUGGCAUGGGAAGUGUAUGGUGAAAUUGUUAGAAGUGGGAUUGAAUUGAAUGUUUACACACAAAAUAUUAUGGUCAAUGCGUUGUGUAAAGAUUACAAAAUUGAUGAUGUUAAGAAAUUUUUAUUCGAUAUGGAGCAGAAAGGAAUUUUUGCAGAUAUUGUAACAUAUAAUACUCUUAUCAAUGCAUAUUGUCGCGAAGGACGUUUAGAUGAAGCUUUUGGGGUAAUGAACUCAAUGUUAAAUAAGGGGUUGAAACCGGGUCUCUUUACAUAUAAUGCUAUUAUCAAUGGUUUAUGUAAAAAGGGAAGCUUUGCUAGAGCAAAGGGAGUUUUGGAUGAGAUGUUGAGCAUCGGAUUGAGUCCUGAUACUACCACUUAUAACACAUUGCUUGUUGAAAGUUGUAGAAAAGACAAUUUUUCAGAAGCUGAAAAAAUAUUUGGUGAAAUGUUGCAUAGAGGCAUUGCUGCUGAUUUGGUUAGCUUCAGUUCGCUCAUUAGGGUGUUUUCAAAAAAUGGACAUCUUGAUCGGGCAUUGGUUUACUUUAGAGAUAUGAAGAAAUCUGGCUUGGUUCCAGAUAAUGUGAUUUACACUGUUCUUAUAGAUGGUUAUUGUAGAAAUGGAAUGAUAUUGGAGGCUUUGACAAUACGGGAUGAAAUGCUUGAGCAGGGCUGUGUUUUGGAUGUGGUUACAUAUAAUACAAUAUUAAACGGGUUGUGCAAAGAGAAGGUGCUCAUGGAUGCAAAUGCACUGUUUGAUGAGAUGCUCGAAAGGGGCGUGUUUCCUGAUUUUUACACUUUCACCACUCUGAUUCAUGGACAUUGCAAGGAUGGAAAUAUGAAUAAAGCACUAAGCUUAUUUGGAGCAAUGAAUCAGAGGAAUAUCAAACCAGACAUUGUGACAUACAAUACUUUAAUUGAUGGAUUUUGCAAGGUAGGUGAAAUGGAGAAAGCUAAUCAGUUGUGGUUUGAUAUGAUUUCUAGGAAGAUAUUUCCCAAUCACAUUUCAUAUGGCAUUUUAAUAAAUGGGUAUUGUAAUCUGGGCUUUGUAUCUGAGGCCUUCAGACUGUGGGAUGAGAUGAUUGAGAAAGGCAUCAAGCCUACUCUUAUCACUUGCAAUACUGUUGUAAAGGGCUAUUGCCGGUCAGGUGAUGCAUCUAAGGCAGAUGAAUUCUUGUGCAAGAUGAUUUCGAAAGGAGUUCUUCCUGAUAGCAUCACAUAUAACACCCUCAUUAAUGGAUUUGUAAAAGAAGAAAAUAUGGACAAAGCUUUCUUUCUAGUCAAUAAGAUGGAAAAAGAUGGGCUUUUGCCAGAUGUCAUUACGUAUAAUGUAAUUCUGAAUGGGUUCUGUAGGCUAGGUAAAAUGCAGGAGGCUGAACUGAUCUUACGGAAAAUGAAUGAGAAAGGGAUAAAUCCUGAUAGAUCCACUUAUAUAGCUUUGAUAAAUGGGCAUGUCUCCCAUGACAAUUUGAAGGAGGCAUUUCGAUUUCAUGAUGAAAUGCUGCAAAGGGGCUUUGUACCAGAUGAUAAAUUUUAACUUUAUCUGCAUACCACAUUCUGUCAUUGUUGAUAGAACGUGUGUUGAGGUUCAUGAUGAAAUGAUGCAAAGGAGAUUUUGCCAGAUGAUGAAUCCUAAUUGUUUUGCUACUGCAGCCUAAAGAUCUGUGGAAUCCUUUUCUCUCAUGCCAGGAGCCCAAGAAGGCUUGAUUGUGUUAUUAUGUGAAGUUCCUUGUUUCCUUGUUGAUCACGUUGAAGGUGAGGUUAUUUCUACUCCUAAUGAACUUUUCUCGAAAAAAAUUAAGAGUAAGCUAAAUUUGGAUGCAAUAUUCAUGGUGAUGCGGCCACUUUUAAUUGGUUCACUUGAAAAAGUGAUCCAAAAUGAAAAGUUGGGCCUGCUUUGUAGUGAGGUAAUGAAUACAUAGAAAUUGGUUGUUCAUCAUUCCUUUACUUAGUGCCAUCUUGAACUGUUCAAAGCAUUGUAGCUGGAAUAACGAUUUCCCUGAUGUGUGGGACUACUUUAUAUGUAUUUGUAUUACUCAUUUUCUGCAUCAAUUGAUGGUAUUAACCGGGUCCUUUCCCAAAAAUGAAAGUUUUGUGAAUUUGUGAUUAACUACUAUUUAUUAAUCAAUUUCUGCACUUUGCUGAUAUUUAUAGGAUCUUGGUUCCCAAAAAUGAAUAGGGGAAGAAAAAAUAAAGAAACUCCAAUCAACUGGUGUCCUUGUGUAGCCCUUAUGUUUUGUUUACAUUGUUUUUGCUUUGGAAGCUACUUGCUGUUAUCAAUUCCAUUGGCAUAUCAGUUACAGAUUAGUCCCUUAAUAUUUAUGGUAGAACAACAAGGCAUUUAUAUCUUGUUCUAUUAGCGAUGAUGCCAAUUUCCUAAAUCAACUAGGACCUAAAGAGACUUGAUCUUUGUAAAGCUGAGCUCACCCUUCCUUUGAGGGCCCUUUUCCAAAAGACAAAACAGUUUGGCUAAAAAGAGCAAGGGUUCUUUUCCAAGAGACAAAACUGUGAGGCUAUUGAGAGCAAGCCAAAGUGAACAAUAUGUCAAGGAGUGGGCAACAAUUUGGUCCAAUACGGGAUUGGUUCAUUAUCAAUUAGUAAAAAAGAUCAAAGCCUCCAGCUGUUAAGCAAUAGAUUCCAGAUGUCCAACCCACUCAUUUGAAGAGAGUUUUAUUAUUGAAACAUCAUUAUUCUCUUCUUUGUUGACACAGAGUGAUUACAUGAAAAACUAAAUUCAGUGGAUAUAUUUUAACUCUAUAUGAAGUAGAAACAGUAAAUCAUAUUACAGAGUCUAGAUAUUUUCAGAAAUCAGAUGUCUUUGGUUCUUAAAAUUGUAGUGUGAACCCUUGGGUUUCUUGCUGUUUGGGCUUCCUCUUUGCCUCAAAACUCAGAUGAACCUUAAAUUUCAAGUUUUCUGGUUCCCUAUCUCUGUGUUGGAUAUAUUGUCCUUGAAUGGGAAUCAAGAAUCUUGUGUGAUUUUACAUAGUAUAUUAUGCCAUCGAAUUGGAUGAUAGUGAAUUGUCAUGUUUGUAUUAAACUAUGUGAUUUCAAAACCCUCUUCUAGGAAGUCACUCUGUGGAGCAACCUAGGCACAAAGUGGAAGCUGACUGGUUAAGUGCUUCUGUUGCUGUAAUGGUAAACAUCUGAAGCCUGAAGAAUGGUGAAUUCGUUAAAACUAAGCUGAUUUUUUUCUUUUCCAUUUCCAUAGAACUAUUUAAAAAAGAGUCUUGCGUUUAUGUUUAUGGUAAUUGCCAUCCCUGAUUAAAGCUUUAAAAUUUAGAAAAGCUUUCGAGGGAUCUGCAAUAUGGACUUACCUCCCCCUAUAUUUGUAAGCAAGAAAAUGUUCCUGUAUUGGGAUACAUUACACAGACGUACAAAGUUAAAACUUCAUUUCAUGUGCUUGUUCUGGCUUUUGAAUAUUUUUCACUCCUCACAGUUCACUUAUUUUUUUGUUCACUUGUUGAUAUGAACCAUGAAAUCAUUCUUGAAGAUUUUGAAAAGCUCUACUGCUUUUUUCAUCAUUAGGCAAACUAUUUUGUUUUCUCAAUCACUAUGCAGUAACUAUGGAUCUUUAGUAACCCAGUUUGUUUUCCAAGCAAAAGCUUUUGGAUCAUGUUCUCUGCUCACAAUAUAUCUUGCUUAAUAUUGUGUUCUUUAGGGUAACUGAGAAAGCUCAGAGUGGCUAAAGAAAGCCAGAUUCAAGCUCCAAGCUUUUUGUUGAAAGCCCUCUUGAUAGGUUGAAUGCUAUACCGGUUGAAGGAGAAUAGGUAACGUGAUUGAUCCAUUUUCCCAGCUUGAAAGAGUACAUUUUGAGAUUGUAUCAGUGUUAAUUAUUAUAAAUUUGUGUCAACUUUGGAAUUCCAGUGAAGAUGAAAAAGCUUGUCUAUUAAAAUUUCUAUUCCAAAACUACCAUUCCCAAACAAAAAACCCUAAUUUAUUUCUUAUUACAGCCCUUGCCCCCAUCCACACACCUCUCUCUCUCAUUCCCACAGCUAGCUCCCACCCACCUUCCACAAGGCCAGACCCUACCCGAAGAAGAAAAAGAAGAGUUCCGAGUAUUCAACAUUGUGGCCUUUAUUUGUUAGCGUUGAAGAACAAAUCUACUGAUGUUGAAGAGUAGAUCGAGGAACCAUUGUUGAAUGGAGGAACGGGGGCGACAGCAGCAGACUCAAAACAGAUGUAGUGGCGGAGAUAAUUAAAGGAGGAAGAGGAAGCUAGCUAUUAGCGAAGAUCACACGUAGAAGGGGAAAUAUUGCCUGAAUGAUAUAAAGGGAAUGUAAGAAUUUAAAAGGAAUAAGGUUCAAUUUCCUCCCUACACUUACUGGGAGAUUUAAUUUAGCUUAAUUUUAAUUUUUGAUUUAAUUUAAUUAAGAAAUUUUAAUUUAUAUCCGAUUUAGUUCAAUUUUGAGAAAAGUGUACCUCACUCACCAUUUUAGCGCGUGAG
rnacentral:misc_RNA from 1 species